CUGGUUCCUAGGUCUUGAGAUGAGUGGUAUCCAUAAUUGCGUAAACUUUCAAGGUAUGGAACUUGCAAGCUACCAUAUGAAAGUAUGCAAGUGAGUGAAUGCACAUGGAUUAAAAGGUAGGAUGAAAGUUUGGUGCUAGGAAAGAUAGAAUAUUUGUUUGUCAUUUCUAUUCGAGCUGUGGUUGAGAAAAAUAUAAUUUCAAAAAUAUUUAUUAUGGAUCUUGAAAUUUUUAUUUUAAUUUAAAUUUGACUUAUUUUAGUUGUAAAAAGUUUCAUAACAGUAAAAAAAUUUAAUAGCAUCUAAGUGAGUAAUGUUAGUCAUGGGUAAUCUUAUUGAUCUUUCUUCAUUUUUAAGAAAUAGAAAGUAAUGAAAUGUUGAG
rnacentral:misc_RNA from 1 species